rnacentral:tRNA from 2 species
GCGGGCGUAGUUCAGUGGCAGAACAUCAGCUUCCCAAGCUGAAUAUGAGGGUUCGAUUCCCUUCGCCCGCUCCA